rnacentral:lncRNA from 1 species
UUUCAAUGUUGUAGUUGGCCCUUAUCUUGGGCUGAUCUUAAUGUGCAGCAAGAGUACAUUCGAGGAAUCAAUUUCUCGAAUUUCAAUACUCUUGUAUGCUAUCAGUCCAUUGAUCAGUUGGUAAUAUGGAUUGCAUCAUUUGAACGCCACUUUAAUAAGUUGAGGUUUUCUCUGCAGAUUCAGGAUGAUGAUCUUUCUAAUUCAAAAAAUUCAAGUGUGAGUUGAAAGUAUAGGAAUGGGCAAGAUGACGCUGAUGCUCCUCCAGAGGGAAUAUCUACUGAUCAGGGCAUUCAUUCAAAUGUUGCACAAUAGCUGGAGGUAUAGUUGCUAUUCAAUAUAUAGUUCUAAUUUUCCUGUUGUUAUUCAGUACUUUCCUUCAGACUCCUCCCCUUUCUGUUUUGCUCUGUUUUUCGUUUUCCCCAAUCCUUUAUAGUUAUCUAAUAUGUGCAGUUUAAUCUUUAUUUUCUCAGGAUGGACUCAACGAUAUUCAUGAUCUAGAGAAUUCGUUUGCUGCAUUUCUUGUGAAACCUCUUCGGGCACUAAAGUAUGGUGCAUCUGGUUUGGACAAGCUAGAAAGGCAAAGCACAUUUUGUUUUGGACUUAAAAUCAGAUCAGCCUGCAAUGCAAUGGGAAUAUUUUCAUUGAUAUUUUGUGCCUUUGUAAAUAACAUUUUUUAGCAUAUUGGUAUAUACUUAGCUCGUUGCUCUUGUUACUUUUAGGAAACAAUGCUAAUGCACAAGGAGUUGGUGCAUUCUAGUGGCCUUAACAAACUUAUGGUGGAACUUCAAAUCAAAGGUUGGCAUUUCCUUGAUAAUCCAUCUUGUUAACUACUCAUAUUCUGAGUAUAAGCAUUUUGGGUAAAUUCAAAAAAUACAGUUAUAAGCUUAUAGAGAAACUAAUGCUAGAGCCCCUUUGAGGAAUGAAUAAUUACGUUCUAUGUUGCUCGGACUCUCCAAAAAUGGAGAAGCAUCCGUGUCAAUACAACAUGAUACGGAUACUGACAUGGGAUAUGGAUUGAAUCCUUCGUUUUACACUUGGACACGGCAACAAAAGGGAGAAGAUGGUGGAAGGUUUCUUGCUUCUCCGGCGGCUGAAAAAUUUGUAGAGAGAGAGAAAUUUGGGGAAGACAAGGAAAGACGAUGAGUUUUAAGGAGUUAAAUGGGCUCUUGAGAAGUCCAAAUGAUAGAGUUAAUGAGAGUGUGUUAAAUGGAUUCUUGUGAAGUCUAAUGAAUGUAGUUAUUGAGUUUAUAUAAUUUUUUUAUUUCUUAUAUUUUAUCUUUUACAACAUUUUAUAUUAUACUUAAAAUGAAUUAGUGAUAUAUUAUUU